rnacentral:rRNA from 1 species
UACCCCGGGAUAACAGGCUGAUCUUCCCCCAAGAGUCCAUAUCGACGGGAUGGUUGGCACCUCGAUGUCGGCUCGUCGCAUCCUGGGGCUGGAGUAGGUCCAAGGGUUGGGCUGUUCGCCCAUUAAAGCGGCACGCGAGCUGGGUUUAGAACGUCGUGAGACAGUUCGGUCUCUAUCCGCCGCGCGCGUUAGAAACUUGAGGAAGGCUGUCCCUAGUACGAGAGGACCGGGACGGACGAACCUCUGGUGUGCCAGUUGUUCCGCCAGGAGCACUGCUGGUUAGCUACGUUCGGAAGGGAUAACCGCUGAAAGCAUCUAAGCGGGAAGCCUGUUCCAAGAUGAGGUUUCUCACCCCCUCGAGGGGUAAGGCCCCGGCAGACCACCGGGUUGAUAGGCCAGAACUGGAAGCACAGUAAUGUGUGGAGGUGACUGGUACUAAUAGGCCGAGGACUUACCACAA